rnacentral:rRNA from 1 species
AUUGAACGCUGGCGGCAGGCUUAACACAUGCAAGUCGAGCGAGCGGCGGACGGGUGAGUAAUGUCUGGGAACCUGCCUGAUGGCGGGGGAUCACUACUGGAAACGGUAGCUAAUCCCGCAUUCCAUCAGCUGUGCCCAGAGGGGAUUAGCUAGUAGGUGGGGUAACGGCUCACCUAGGCGACGAUCCCUAGCUGGUCUGCGAGGAUGACCGGCCACACUGGAACUGAGACACGGUCCAGACUCCGACGUGAGGCAGCAGUGGGGAAUAUUGGGAAAUGGGCGCAAGCCUGAUGCAGCCAUGCCGCGUGUGUGAAGAAGGCUUUCGGGUUGUAAAGCUCUUUCAUCGGGGAGGCGUUACCCGCACAACAAGCACCGGCUAACUCCGUGCCAGCAGCCGCGGUAAUUC